UAUCGGAACGUGCCCAGUAGCGGGGGAUAACUACGCGAAAGCGUAGCUAAUACCGCAUACGCCCUACGGGGGAAAGCAGGGGAUCGCAAGACCUUGCACUAUUGGAGCGGCCGAUAUCGGAUUAGCUAGUUGGUGGGGUAACGGCUCACCAAGGCGACGAUCCGUAGCUGGUUUGAGAGGACGACCAGCCACACUGGGACUGAGACACGGCCCAGACUCCUACGGGAGGCAGCAGUGGGGAAUUUUGGACAAUGGGGGAAACCCUGAUCCAGCCAUCCCGCGUGUGCGAUGAAGGCCUUCGGGUUGUAAAGCACUUUUGGCAGGAAAGAAACGUCGCGGGUUAAUACCCCGCGGAACUGACGGUACCUGCAGAAUAAGCACCGGCUAACUACGUGCCAGCAGCCGCGGUAAUACGUAGGGUGCAAGCGUUAAUCGGAAUUACUGGGCGUAAAGCGUGCGCAGGCGGUUCGGAAAGAAAGAUGUGAAAUCCCAGAGCUUAACUUUGGAACUGCAUUUUUAACUACCGGGCUAGAGUGUGUCAGAGGGAGGUGGAAUUCCGCGUGUAGCAGUGAAAUGCGUAGAUAUGCGGAGGAAC
rnacentral:rRNA from 1 species